ACGCCCCGUCUUCUGUUCACCUGACUUCUGCAAUAGCUACAGAUCCCUCCGUGGUGAUUCACCUCCCUUGGAAGUGACCCUCUCACAGAUCACUGUUGUUUACAUGUCUCAUGAUCCCCAAAAUCAUCUCUGGAGGUCCCUGCAGGAUCCUGAGCCCCAGCUUGAAA